UGACCUCAAAUCAGGUAGGACUACCCGCUGAACUUAAGCAUAUCAAUAAGCGGAGGAAAAGAAACUAACAAGGAUUCCCCUAGUAACUGCGAGUGAAGCGGGAUAAGCUCAAAUUUAAAAUCUGGCGGUCCUUGUGGCCGUCCGAGUUGUAAUUUAGAGAAGCGUUAUCCGCGUUGGACCGUGUACAAGUCUCCUGGAAUGGAGCGUCAUAGAGGGUGAGAAUCCCGUCUUUGACACGGACUGCCAAGGCAUUGUGAUACGCUCUCGAAGAGUCGAGUUGUUUGGGAAUGCAGCUCAAAAUGGGUGGUAAAUUCCAUCUAAAGCUAAAUAUUGGGGAGAGACCGAUAGCGAACAAGUACCGUGAGGGAAAGAUGAAAAGAACUUUGGAAAGAGAGUUAAACAGUACGUGAAAUUGCUGAAAGGGAAACGCUUGAAGUCAGUCGCGUCGUUCAGGACUCAGCCUUGCUUUGCUUGGUGUACUUCCUGUUCGACGGGUCAGCAUCAAUUUUGGUCGGUGGAUAAAGGCUUGGAGAAUGUGGCAUCCUCGGAUGUGUUAUAGCUCUGGGUCGCAUACAUCGGCUGGGAUUGAGGAACUCAGCACGCCGCAAGGCCGGGGACUUGUCCCACGUACGUGCUUAGGAGGCUGGCAAAUGCUAAC
rnacentral:rRNA from 1 species